rnacentral:rRNA from 1 species
CCCUUAGAUGUUCUGGGCCGCACGCGUGCUACACUGAGUGGAUCAGCGGGUCAGGUUGCGCGAAAGCGUUUCCUAAUCUUUAAAUCCGCUCGUGAUGGGGAUUGACGGUUGCAAUUUUCUGUCAUGAACGAGGAAUACCUUGUAAGCGCGGGUCAUCAUCCCGCGCUGAAUACGUCCCGGCCCUUUGUACACACCGCCCGUCGCUCCUACCGAUUGAGUGGUCCGGUGAGGCUUUGGGAUCUGAGCGGAAAGAGCGUUUCGCUGUUUCUGCUCGGAAAACUCAGUCGAACCUUAUCAUUUAGAGGAAGGAGAAGUCGUAACA